rnacentral:rRNA from 1 species
UACGAAGGGGGCUAGCGUUGCUCGGAAUCACUGGGCGUAAAGCGCACGUAGGCGGAUUCUUAAGUCAGGGGUGAAAUCCUGGAGCUCAACUCCAGAACUGCCUUUGAUACUGGGAAUCUCGAGUCCGGGAGAGGUGAGUGGAACUGCGAGUGUAGAGGUGAAAUUCGUAGAUAUUCGCAAGAACACCAGUGGCGAAGGCGGCUCACUGGCCCGGUACUGACGCUGAGGCACGAAAGCGUGGGGAGCAAACAGG